GGACAGACUAUUUCAGUUGUAAUGCGGUUUGGAAAACUCAUAACCGGCGGUAUACUGCAUCGACCGACUUAUAUAUAAUUACUUAAUUAAGUAUAUAUUUUUAAAUUAUACUUGUAUUAAUAAUAGCCGUUAGAUUAAUUUAACAGCUAGGAUUAAAGAAUUGGGAUUAAUCCUAGUCGUUGGAUUGAUCUUACUCAAUCUCAUCUCUCAGUUGAAAACAUACUCUAGGCAGGAAAAUACCUCCCCU
rnacentral:lncRNA from 1 species